GUUGUGUUUCUAGGCGAAAAAAAAAAAACACUUUAUUUGGCCUUCCGAAAUUAGACGCAUUUAGGAAUCUUUAAGAUUACUUAAAAGGAGAGGAGGUCAUCCUGACUUUGCCUUGACAAUCUGGCACUUUUGAAUCAGCUACUGUUAAUGAUUUUCCAUCGUGGGAGGCGGGGGAGAACAGCGGCAGAAUUAGGAUUCAGCUCCCAUCCUCAGCGCCGAGCGGCUGUCUGCUGCCUACCCAGCAACCCUGGCGCUUUGUGACAAGGAGAUGGAUGAUAUCUGCAGCCUGGCUGGCCGCUCUAUGGGUAACAGGAGCACCUGCGGCCACCGCUAACCGCCAUCCGAUGGGUUAAAAGCUCUGACUGGUGGAAGACGCUCAGAGCAGCCGCGGGGUCCACUGGAGUCCCAUCGGCUGAGAGAAACCUGUGAGACA